rnacentral:rRNA from 1 species
ACUCCUACGGGAGGCAGCAGUCGGGAAUUUUGGGCAAUGGGCGAAAGCCUGACCCGGCAACGCCGCGUUGAAGGAUGAAAUCCCUCGGGAUGUAAACUUCGCAAGAAUGGGAAGAAUGAACGAGCGCUAAUACCGUUCGUGAUGACGGUACCAUUUGUAAGCUCCGGCUAACUCCGUGCCAGCAGCCGCGGUAAU